rnacentral:rRNA from 1 species
AUUGAACGCUGGCGGCGUGCCUAACACAUGCAAGUCGAGCGGUAACAGGUGUAGCAAUACAUGCUGACGAGCGGCGGACGGGUGAGUAACGCUUGGGAAUCUGCCUAUUAGUGGGGGACAACCCGGGGAAACUCGGGCUAAUACCGCAUACGCUCUACGGAGGAAAGCCGGGGACCGCAAGGCCUGGCGCUAAUAGAUGAGCCCAAGUCGGAUUAGCUAGUUGGUAGGGUAAUGGCCUACCAAGGCGACGAUCCGUAACUGGUCUGAGAGGACGACCAGUCACGCCGGAACUGAGACACGGUCCGGACUCCUACGGGAGGCAGCAGUGGGGAAUCUUGCGCAAUGGGCGAAAGCCUGACGCAGCGACGCCGCGUGA